rnacentral:rRNA from 1 species
AACGAACGCUGGCGGCAUGCCUAACACAUGCAAGUCGAACGAGACCUUCGGGUCUAGUGGCGCACGGGUGCGUAACGCGUGGGAACCUGCCCUUAGGUUCGGAAUAACUCAGAGAAAUUUGAGCUAAUACCGGAUAAUGUCUUCGGACCAAAGAUUUAUCGCCUUUGGAUGGGCCCGCGUAGGAUUAGCUUGUUGGUGGGGUAAUGGCCUACCAAGGCGACGAUCCUUAGCUGGUCUGUGAGGAUGAUCAGCCACACUGGGACUGAGACACGGCCCAGACUCCUACGGGAGGCAGCAGUGGGGAAUAUUGGACAAUGGGCGAAAGCCUGAUCCAGCAAUGCCGCGUGAGUGAUGAAGGCCUUAGGGUUGUAAAGCUCUUUUACCAGGGAUGAUAAUGACAGUACCUGGAGAAUAAGCUCCGGCUAACUCCGUG